rnacentral:tRNA from 1 species
GGUAAAAUGGCUGAAGUAAUAGGCAAUAAACUGUAAAUUUAUGAAUGAAAUUUUAUUUCUUUUACCA